UUUCAUAGUUUCUUCUUUGGUUUUGUAAGAUUUCUUGCUGAAUUAUGAUUGAUUUGGAAUUUCCAAUCAAUGUGUUUUAUGUUUGUUUCAUGACUAUUCUUUGGGUGGCCAUUAUUUCUAUCGCAAUGGUGGUUUCAUGCCAUUUUAUUGAAUUAUGAUAUUUGCCUGACAAUGUCUUCUUCUUUUUGAAUGUUUACAAGUAAAAUGUGCUAGAAUCAUGUAUGUUUCUUUUACUUAUUAUUAUAAUUUUUUUUCCUUUUUUAUUUAUUUGUUUGUUCUUUACUUGUGGUUUAAUAAUAUAGACUUGUGCUCGGUUUUAAUAUCUCUAUAGUUCAUUCUAGUUAACUAGGAGAAGUGGUAUUAGUGAUGUGACUCCAUGGAUUUUGGUAUUGUGAAGUAGAACAACUCAAUAUUUACAGUAAGUUAAAGUCACUAAUUCUUAUUACAAAGCUAAAACAAUGACAUUAUUUUGGACCUUUAUAGUCUGUUUAAUAAAGUAUGUAAUUGUCUGUUCAGUGAUCCUCCCCCCUCCAAAAGAAAAAGAACUCUGAAUGAAUAAAGUCUGUCUAGUCAACUUAUUUGGUUUAAGUGUGAAAGUGUAUCUGUUAGUAUUAAUUUUUUUUUUUUUAUCAAUGCUUUAUUUGUGCUAUUUAUUUUCUCUUACAGCUUGGUGGAGGUUACCUAUUUGGGUUGCCUUUGGGGUUUGUUGCUGAUUCUAUUGGUGCAACAAUUGGUGCUACAGCUGCAUUUAUUCUUGGUAGAAUAAGCUAAUUUUCAUAUUAAGCAUGCCCAGCAUCUUACACCUGGGACUGCAGACCGGUUUGGUGAACUAGGGAUUAUUGCUUCAGUACAGAAUUUGGAAAUAUCUUGUCUUGAAAAGAAUUUGGAUAUGAGACUCGGUGUAGUCACCAAAGAAACUAAACCUAGUAUAACUG